rnacentral:rRNA from 1 species
AUUGAACGCUGGCGGAAUGCUUUACACAUGCAAGUCGAACGGUAGAGGGGGCAACCCCUUGAGAGUGGCGAACGGGUGAGUAAUAUAUCGGAACGUGCCCAGUCGUGGGGGAUAACGUAGCGAAAGUUACGCUAAUACCGCAUACGAUCUAAGGAUGAAAGCGGGGGAUCGCAAGACCUCGCGCGAUUGGAGCGGCCGAUAUCAGAUUAGGUAGUUGGUGGGGUAAAGGCUCACCAAGCCAACGAUCUGUAGCUGGUCUGAGAGGACGACCAGCCACACUGGAACUGAGACACGGUCCAGACUCCUACGGGAGGCAGCAGUGGGGAAUUUUGGACAAUGGACGCAAGUCUGAUCCAGCCAUUCCGCGUGCAGGAUGAAGGCCCUCGGGUUGUAAACUGCUUUUGUACGGAACGAAAAGGUCUCGUCUUAAUACGAGGGGCUCAUGACGGUACCGUAAGAAUAAGCACCGGCUAACUACGUG